rnacentral:rRNA from 1 species
CUCUAUCUGCAGUCGAGCGGACAGAAGGGAGCUUGCUCCCGGAUGUUAGCGGCGGACGGGUGAGUAACACGUGGGUAACCUGCCUGUAAGACUGGGAUAACUCCGGGAAACCGGAGCUAAUACCGGAUAGUUCCUUGAACCGCAUGGUUCAAGGAUGAAAGACGGUUUCGGCUGUCACUUACAGAUGGACCCGCGGCGCAUUAGCUAGUUGGUGAGGUAACGGCUCACCAAGGCGACGAUGCGUAGCCGACCUGAGAGGGUGAUCGGCCACACUGGGACUGAGACACGGCCCAGACUCCUACGGGAGGCAGCAGUAGGGAAUCUUCCGCAAUGGACGAAAGUCUGACGGAGCAACGCCGCGUGAGUGAUGAAGGUUUUCGGAUCGUAAAGCUCUGUUGUUAGGGAAGAACAAGUGCAAGAGUAACUGCUUGCACCUUGACGGUACCUAACCAGAAAGCCACGGCUAACUACGUGCCAGCAGCCGCGGUAAUACGUAGGUGGCAAGCGUUGUCCGGAAUUAUUGGGCGUAAAGGGCUCGCAGGCGGUUUCUUAAGUCUGAUGUGAAAGCCCCCGGCUCAACCGGGGAGGGUCAUUGGAAACUGGGAAACUUGAGUGCAGAAGAGGAGAGUGGAAUUCCACGUGUAGCGGUGAAAUGCGUAGAGAUGUGGAGGAACACCAGUGGCGAAGGCGACUCUCUGGUCUGUAACUGACGCUGAAGAGCGAAAGCGUGGGGAGCGAACAGGAUUAAAUACCCUGGUAGUCCACGCCGUAAACGAUGAGUGCUAAGUGUUAGGGGGUUUCCGCCCCUUAGUGCUGCAGCUAACGCAUUAAGCACUCCGCCUGGGGGAGU